AACGAACACUGGCGGCGUGCCUAACACAUGCAAGUCGAACGUGAUUGGAAGCUUGCUUCCAUGAAAGUGGCGCACGGGUGAGUAACGCGUAGAUAAUCUACCUGAUGAUCCGGGAUAACACUUCGAAAGGGGUGCUAAUACCAGAUAAGCCCACGGAGUCCUUGGACUCUGCGGGAAAAGGGGGGGAUCGCAAGACCUUCCGUCAUCAGAUGAGUCUGCGUACCAUUAGCGAGUUGGUAGGGUAAAGGCCUACCAAGGCUACGAUGGUUAGCUGGUCUGAGAGGAUGAGCAGCCACACUGGAACUGAGACACGGUCCAGACUCCUACGGGAGGCAGCAGUGGGGAAUUUUGCGCAAUGGGGGAACCCCUGACGCAGCAAAGCCGCGUGAGUGAUGAAGGCCCUUGGGUCGUAAAGCUCUGACAGAGGGAAAGAAAUGCAGAGUGGCUAAUAUCCACCUUGCUUGACGGUACCCUCAAAGGAAGCACCGGCUAACUCCGUGCCAGCCGCCGCCGUAAGAC
rnacentral:rRNA from 1 species